rnacentral:snRNA from 1 species
AGAUGUGAGGGCCAUCUGGCUGUGCCAUCUGUCACCCCAUGGAUGACUAAGGUUGAUUUGCUGAUGUGGAUGGCUGGACCUGUCUCCCUCCCUCGCAGCUCUAUUUAGGUCCCUCUCAAAACCGCACGUUUGUUGGAAGUUGAUGGCCUUCCCUGAUAGAGGAGUACCUGUCUUUGGUCAAGGAUGGUCAGGGCAUAUGAUUAGCUGCAUUCCCCUGCUGGAGCUUCCAAACCAGCACUUAAGGGAACAGGUUGUGUGACAACAGGUUGGUUGGGGAGAAGUGUGUAUACACCAGGGACAUCAGGACUUGUGGUUGAAUCAGGCCUGGGACAGACCCUCC